GACGAACGCUGGUGGCGUGCUUAACACAUGCAAGUCGAACGGAAAGGCCCUGCUUUUGUGGGGUGCUCGAGUGGCGAACGGGUGAGUAACACGUGAGUAACCUGCCCUUUACUUUGGGAUAACUUCAGGAAACUGGGGCUAAUACCGGAUAGGAGCUCCUGCUGCAUGGUGGGGGUUGGAAAGUUUCGGCGGUUGGGGAUGGACUCGCGGCUUAUCAGCUUGUUGGUGGGGUAGUGGCUUACCAAGGCUUUGACGGGUAGCCGGCCUGAGAGGGUGACCGGCCACAUUGGGACUGAGAUACGGCCCAGACUCCUACGGGAGGCAGCAGUGGGGAAUAUUGCACAAUGGGCGGAAGCCUGAUGCAGCAACGCCGCGUGCGGGAUGACGGCCUUCGGGUUGUAAACCGCUUUCGCCUGUGACGAAGCGUGAGUGACGGUAAUGGGUAAAGAAGCACCGGCUAACUACGUG
rnacentral:rRNA from 1 species